GGAAGUGUGCCUGACAUAGGACUACCUUGAUAGAGUAGACACGGGUUCACCGACCCCACUUCCU
rnacentral:tRNA from 1 species